rnacentral:rRNA from 1 species
UGCAAUGCGGGGUCGUAGGGCGUGGUAAUAGGGUGCGAGCAAGUUGUAAAUGGAAUUACGGAGCGGAAGGCGGGAGCAGGUGGCUUAUGAAGUCAGAGGUUAAAUCUCUAGGUUCAACGUGGGAACUGCAGUUGAAACUAAUAAACUAGAGUAGGGUAGAGGGAGGUAGAAUUCCAGGUGUAGCGGGGAAAGGCGUAGAUAUCUGGAGGAAGACCAGUGGCGAAGGCGACCUCCUGGACGAAAACUGACGCUCAAGCACGAAAGCAUGGGGAGCAAACAGGAUUAGAUACCCCGGAGUC